CGAACGGGUGAGUAAUGCGUGACCAACCUGCCCCAUGCUCCAGAAUAGCUCUUGGAAACGGGUGGUAAUGCUGGAUGCUCCAACUUGACGCAUGUCUUGUUGGGAAAGUGUUUAGUGGCAUGGGAUGGGGUCGUGUCCUAUCAGCUUGUAGGCGGGGUAAUGGCCCACCUAGGCUUCGACGGGUAGCCGGCCUGAGAGGGCGGACGGCCACAUUGGGACUGAGAUACGGCCCAGACUCCUACGGGAGGCAGCAGCG
rnacentral:rRNA from 1 species